rnacentral:rRNA from 2 species
UGGGGAAUAUUGCGCAAUGGGGGAAACCCUGACGCAGCGACGCCGCGUGAGCGAUGAAGGCUUUCGGGUCGUAAAGCUCUGUUCUAAGGGACGAACGCAACAGCUGUUAAUACCAGCUGUAAAUGACGGUACCUUAGGAGAAAGCCCCGGCUAACUACGUGCCAGCAGCCGCGGUAAUACGUAGGGGGCGAGCGUUGUCCGGAAUUACUGGGCGUAAAGAGCGUGUAGGCGGGCAUUUAAGUCAGAUGUGAAAGACCGGGGCUCAACUCCGGGAUUGCAUUUGAAACUGGAUAUCUUGAGGGCAGGAGAGGAAAGCGGAAUUCCUGGUGUAGCGGUGAAAUGCGUAGAUAUCAGGAGGAACACCGGUGGCGAAGGCGGCUUUCUGGACUGACCCUGACGCUGAGACGCGAAAGCGUGGGGAGCAAACAGG